UACGAAGGGGGCUAGCGUUGCUCGGAUUGACUGGGCGUAAAGGGCGCGUAGGCGGUUCGUACAGUCAGACGUGAAAUUCCUGGGCUCAACCUGGGGGCUGCGUUUGAUACGUGCGGACUUGAGUGCGGAAGAGGGUCGUGGAAUUCCCAGUGUAGAGGUGAAAUUCGUAGAUAUUGGGAAGAACACCGGUGGCGAAGGCGGCGACCUGGUCCGAUACUGAUGCUGAGGCGCGAAAGCGUGGGGAGCAAACAGGG
rnacentral:rRNA from 1 species